rnacentral:tRNA from 1 species
CAGUUAAUAGUUUAUUAAAAUAUGAUCUUUGGGAGAUUAAGAUGUAGUUUUACUACUUAUCUGA